AUUCAGGCUAGGCUUUCUUCUAUCCAGUCUGAACAUGUAACGUUUUAUAUGUUGGCAUUAAGAAUAACUUUGAGAGCAGCCUUGCAGUUCUUUUCAAACCGUUCAGGUCCCCCCUCAACAUAAUCGCCUUGUGAAGUGGGAUAAAUGAAAGAGAAUAGUAAUCGGAGCUCUUCCUUGCCCAGAACUAACGCAGACUCACGAACUCAAGCAGAAAGGGAUUGUAUUGGCAGCGCAUCAGAAAGCUUGAAGAAUCGACAGAAAUACCUAUAAGAAAACCAACAGCAUGAAAAAAUGAAAAACAUAAAGCUACAAGAAAACUUGAUUUGAGGAAACAGCCCAAAGAAGGUCACACGGAUGCCAGCACGUGCCUGCCUGCCUCUGGAGCACAGCACUGGUCCCCACGUCUUCUUCAUCAUCUCUUCUACCAAGAAAAAAAGGGCUGCGAGGACACCUUCUCUGGCCAAUAGCAGAAAACCUGGAAUAAGAGGAGUCGCAUUCACAGACAAUGAGCUUUUUAAGGCAAGUGCAGUGGGAGGACCAGGUUCCCCAGGGUUAUGCCUGCACUGGGGCAUGUCCCGGAUGACAGCACUUAGCCAGGUGGAAGAGGGCCAGCAUUCAACCCGGCGGAGCAAACAUCUACAAGGUUUGUCAAGAUACAAUGCAGGUACUGUACACUUUCUCUUCCUCCCUUCCCUUCCGACUUGCCCAAUCUUUGAAUCAUUGUCAAGUUCUCAAGUGAGGAUCUUGAGAGUCAACCAAAGAAGAGCAGAAACCAGGGAAAAGCAAUCCCCACUCCCCCACGCCCUGUAGGCAACAAAGGACUGACUAUUCUGAAGUUUCAUCUUAAGGAGCCUGCUAACCCCCAGAAGUAUCCAAGACGCGGGUGGGGUUACACUUUAUACCUCUUGCUACUUUGUAAGUGUUUGAACAGAAAGGGACUAUUUGUUCCAGAGGCUUACAAGAUGGUUUUCCUAAAAUAGCUGCACAGACAGGAGGGUGGAGUCUUGGGCGAUGGAAGGAGCCCCCAGAUGCCCCGGUGCAGCUCUCACCUGCUACCCUGCCACACUUGCCUGCUGCCCUGUAGCUCUGCUCUGCAGGUCAGAGGCUGACAUCAAGAAACGAGUCAAUUUUUUGGGAUAGAAUGAGCAAUUGCACAACACUGGAAAUCUGUCCAGUCUAUUCCAAGUUGCCCACACAACGGACACCCCCCAGAUGAAACCUGAUGCUUUGCCCUCUGUUGGGUCCACAGGUACUGCUCAAAGACCACUGGGAGCAAUAGUGACCCAACUUGACUCCAGACACCGCAAUGACCUCCACUACAUUGUCAAAUGGGAAUAUUGAGAGGACGCAUCUCUAUCUUAUCCCGUGAACUUCAACUUUUGACUGUUAAUAAUGAUGUUUGCUGAAGGUUUUUCAGAUUAACGAAUAUCUCUUCUAUUCCUAGUUUGCUUUAGUUGCAUUCCAGAAGUUUUAAAACAUAACCUUUUCAUCAUAUUCAGUUCUAUGUAUUUUUAAAUUUCCAUUAUAUAUUUUCUUUGAUCUAUGAAUUAUUUAAAGUAUGUUUUUCAUUUCCAAAUGUAAGGCUUUUUUUAAUUAAUGUUUUUUGUCAUUGAUUUCUAACAAUUACUUUUGAUAUUUAUUCAUAGAAAAUUCCAUAAUUGUUUAAAAAGAGGCAAUAAUCUCCAACUGCUGAGUGCCACGUUCUCUAUAUGCCAUUUUAUCAAGUUUAUUAAUGUGUUCACGUCUUUUACAUCCUCACUGACUUUUAGCUGCUUAAUCUCUGAAUUGCCAAGAGAAAUGUUAAAAAUCUCCCACUGGCACAGUGGAUCUGUCUAUCUCCCCUCUUAGUGCUGCAAUUGUUUACUUUAUGUAUUUUGAGGAGAUAUAUAUAAAUAAUGUUACAAGUCUAGAAUUGUUAUAUUUGUGUGAAAUUAAGCAUCUUACCAUUGUGUGGUGACCUCUUUAUCACUCAUAAAGCUGUUUGCCUUAAAGUCUGUUUUUUUCUGACAUUAACAUAUUUUUCCAGCUCUCUUUUGACUGCUAUUUGCCUGUUGUGUCUUUUUCCAUCCUUUAACUUUCAAUAUUUCUACAUCCUUAUGUUUGAAAUGUGUCUC
ensembl:lncRNA